CUACGGGACGCAGCAGUGAGGAAUAUUGCGCAAUGGGGGAAACCCUGACGCAGCGACGCCGCGUGGAUGAUGAAGGCCUUCGGGUUGUAAAAUCCUGUCAGAUGGGAAGAACUGUUACAUGUCUAAUAUAUGUGUAACCUGACGGUACCAUCAAAGGAAGCACCGGCUAACUCCGUGCCAGCAGCCGCGGUAAUACGGAGGGUGCAAGCGUUGUUCGGAAUUACUGGGCGUAAAGCGCGCGUAGGCGGCUAUGUAAGUCAGAUGGGAAAGCCCAUGGCUUAACCAUGGACGUGCAUUUGAUACUGCAUGGCUUGAGUACUGGAGGGGGUGGUGGAAUUCCCGGUGUAGAGGUGAAAUUCGUAGAUAUCGGGAGGAAUACCGGUGGCGAAGGCGACCACCUGGCCAGAUACUGACGCUGAGGUGCGAAAGCGUGGGGAGCAAACAGGAUUAGAUACCCUUGUAGUC
rnacentral:rRNA from 1 species